rnacentral:rRNA from 1 species
UACGUAGGGUGCGAGCGUUGUCCGGAAUUAUUGGGCGUAAAGAGCUCGUAGGCGGUUUGUCGCGUCGACUGUGAAAACCCGAGGCUUAACCUCGGGCCUGCAGUCGAUACGGGCAGACUAGAGUUCGGUAGGGGAGACUGGAAUUCCUGGUGUAGCGGUGAAAUGCGCAGAUAUCAGGAGGAACACCGGUGGCGAAGGCGGGUCUCUGGGCAGUAACUGACGCUGAGGAGCGAAAGCGUGGGGAGCGAACAGG